CCUACGGGUGGCAGCAGUGGGGAAUAUUGGGCAAUGGGCGCAAGCCUGACCCAGCAACGCCGCGUGAAGGAAGAAGGCUUUCGGGUUGUAAACUUCUUUUGUCGGGGAAGAGUGGAAGACGGUACCUGACGAAUCAGCCACGGCUAACUACGUGCCAGCAGCCGCGGUAAUACGUAGGUGGCAAGCGUUGUCCGGAUUUGCUGGGUGUAAAGGGCGUGUAGCCGGGUUGACAAGUCAGAUGUGAAAUCCUGCGGCUUAACCGAAGAACUGCAUUUGAAACUGUUGAUCUUGAGUACUGGAGAGGCAGAUGGAACUCCUAGUGUAGCGGUGAAAUGCGUAGAUAUUAGGAGGAACACCAGUGGCGAAGGCGGUCUGCUGGACAGCAACUGACGGUGAGGCGCGAAAGCGUGGGGAGCAAACAGGAUUAGAUACCCUAGUAGUC
rnacentral:rRNA from 1 species